AUGAAAAGGGCAAACGUCGAAACAGCGUGUCCCUACGUGUCCGGUGGUUAUAAGAAUUGCAAAGAUAACACGUGCUUUAAAGUGAAUUGCUCUGUUUGUGACUCUUUCAAAGGGACGGGGGUGGCAAUGUCAGAAACCGUUUCUUUGAACCCCACGAGAAGAGAUAAGCUCCUUUCCUUCCUGACUUCUUCCAAUAAAGGGAGAGGAGCCACACUGAGAGAGGCAGAAAGGACGCCAGGCAGGAGGUGGGUGUUCUGGUUUUAUUAUCCUUCCCAGCCCGUGAUGGACGCCGGCCAGACUGGCCAGGCAGUGGCCAAUCCUGACCUCGUUUCACCCCGAGAAGCGGCGAGUGGGGUUGGUGACAAGCCUUGGAGGGGGGCGUGUCAAAGGCAUGAGUCUGAGCCCCCCCCCCCCCCAUUGUAUUUACCGUGUGAGCUUGGGAAAUCCACAUAACCUUUCUGAGCCUCAUUUUCCUAGCGGUAGAAUUGAGGGCGAUGAGAACAGUACCUGUCUAACAAAAUCGCUGCAAAGAUUAGAUAAGAGAGUGAUUUAUCAAGUGGAAAGUGCUGUGCAGAUGAUAGUUAUUAUUGUAGAUGAUCUCAGUUAUUCCUUUCAGUCCUAGAGAUUUGUGAUUCUAAAUGCAGCAGUGUAAGCCAGAGGCUUAUUUUUUCUCAAGCAGCUAUUGAAAUGGUUUCUCCCAAGUUUCCAGUUCUUAAUGCACAAUCGAGGCACUGUCUCCUUGGGAGAAAGUGUCCUUUUGAGGCACUGUCUCUCUGGGAGAAAGUGUCCUUCCUUGGGGCUGUGCCUGGCACAGGGAUGUUGGGGGUGACUGGGGGACUCAGAUAAGCCAAGUCCCCCCUUGAUCUGGGGGAAUGUAGAGUUGUAGAAUAUAAUCAGAACUUUUCAGAUAAAUCUAGUUUGUCUUCAUCACAUGCAGAGUUUUCAAAUCCCCCCUUUUAGUUUAUGAUUUAUUAUUUUUAAAUGUCUAUUUAUGUAUUUUGAGAGAGAGAGCACAAGUGGGAGGGUCAGAGAGAGAGAGGGAGAGAGAGAAUCCCAAGCAGACCCCACACUCAGUGCAGAGCCCUAUGUGGGGCUCGAUCCCACAACUGCGAGAUCACGACCUGAGCCGAUAGCAAGAGUCAGAUGCUCAACAGACUGAGCCACCCAGGCGCCUCCCACCCUUUUAAAAUCCAAAGGUCCGCUAGAGUCAAGAUGGCCUCCUGGACAUUAGAUAGCCUCAUGGGGAGGGCCGGGAGGCAUUUUGAUGAGCAAAGUGUAAAUGAAUUUGAACCGUGUGGAUUUGAUGUGCCCCAUGCUAUAUACAUGCUUACGUAUUGAACAGACAAUAUGGUGUUUCCCACCUAAACUCUAGACGUUUAUAAAUAGAUCAAGACGCACCCUUAUGUGGUUGAGUGUUUGGCUUGGAGGGGCACAGCCAGACCGUAGCCAGGGUCAGGGGUCCUGAUGAGCCCCUUCAAACUCUUAGGUUCCUACGCCUUUGGACAAGCCAGCCUUUUCUGCACGACUGGGUACCAAAGUUGUGGGCUCAGUACGAGGGGAAGACACAGGUGUCCGUGUUCAAAAAUGACGACUUUUGAGAUGGCGGUAGAGAGCGCGGGUAGAGAGCCCCCCGGGUCCCUGUGUGACUUCAGAGUCUAACACAUGAUUCCUCCCCUCCCGCUGUGUCACUCCCAAGCUCAGCUCUGUUUUUCCUGCUCACUGAGCCUCUCUUGACUCUCCAGGAGGCGGAGGCACCUCCACCACGCUCCGGAAGCAUCUCUCUCACCUCUGUGGUGCACCUGUUAACUGUAAUGGACUGUUUCUGUAUUCAUUUAUUCACUCGGCAAACACUGAUGCGUGGGGCACCGUGCAGAGUGCUGGCACGCACAUUCUGGGAGCCUGGAGGAGGGGGACUUAGCCUGGAGGGUCUCGGAAACUUUUCUGUAGGAGAUAGUGCUUGAAUUGAGUCUUGAAGGACCAGUGACUGUAAGAAGAAGAUUGGAAAAUACGAACCACCAAGAGCAAAGCCGUGGAGGCAAGGGACGGCCAGGUUCAUGCAGUGUUGUCGGUGCGUGAAGCUUGGGACAGGGUCUGAGGUUAAAUGGGGCUGGAAGGGCUGGGUCAGCAUUAGGUUAUUGGGAGCCUCAUAAGCCAAGCGGCUCACUCUGGCUCUGAAAGGUUGCAGGCAGGGGAUACGGUCAGAUUUUCCACUGCCGAUUGAUUGCUCGGGUUGCAGUGGGAAUAACAGAUCAAUCCGCAUGGAAGCGGGUAGACAGAAGAAGAGGUGAUUCCAGGCAAGAAAUAAAGGCGACCUCAGAUAAAAUAGGAACUGUGGG
rnacentral:lncRNA from 1 species